AGAGUUUGAUCCUGGCUCAGGGUGAACGCUGGCGGCAGGCUUAACACAUGCAAGUCGAGCGCGUAGCAAUACGAGCGGCAGACGGGUGAGUAACGCGUGGGAAUCUACCCAACCCUACGGAAUAACCCAGGGAAACUUGGACUAAUACCGUAUACGCCCUUUGGGGGAAAGAUUUAUCGGGGAUGGAUGAGCCCGCGUUGGAUUAGCUAGUUGGUGGGGUAAAGGCCUACCAAGGCGACGAUCCAUAGCUGGUCUGAGAGGAUGAUCAGCCACAUUGGGACUGAGACACGGCCCAAACUCCUACGGGAGGCAGCAGUGGGGAAUCUUAGACAAUGGGGGAAACCCUGAUCUAGCCAUGCCGCGUGAUCGAUGAAGGCCUUAGGGUUGUAAAGUCUUUCACCGGAGAAGAUAAUGACGGUAUCCGGAGAAGAAGCCCCGGCUAACUUCGUGCCAGCAGCCGCGGUAAUACGAAGGGGGCUAGCGUUGUUCGGAAUUACUGGGCGUAAAGCGCACGUAGGCGGAUAUUUAAGUCAGGGGUGAAAUCCCAGAGCUCAACUCUGGAACUGCCUUUGAUACUGGGUAUCUAGAGUAUGGAAGAGGUGAGUGGAAUUCCGAGUGUAGAGGUGAAAUUCGUAGAUAUUCGGAGGAACACCAGUGGCAAAGGCGGCUCACUGGUCCAUUACUGACGCUGAGGUGCGAAAGCGUGGGGAGCAAACAGGAUUAGAUACCCUGGUAG
rnacentral:rRNA from 1 species